UUUAGACAAUUCCACAUUCUUAGUCAUGCAGAAGUUAAUAUUCUACAGCUCCAAAGUUCUGACCUUCCCUUUCAAAAACCAUAGUCAGACUGCAGCCCUAGAAAGAGACAUUUAGUUCACUGGUUUUAUAGAUGCAACCUAAAAUUUCUGUACAUAAGAAAUUUCCCUGCUGAAAUUGCAGCUAUCUCUUGCAAAAGACCAUGUCUUUAUAACUUCCAACUUAAUUGCUGCAAUUUUUUUAAAAAAAAAACCUCUGCAAUCUCUUGAUUAGCCAUCCGAAUGGAGCUGAGUAUUCACUGGCAAGAUGCCCUUCCUGAUGCCUACAUAGAAUUUGCAGAAGAUAUUUUCUCUUUGCACCCUGAUAAAGAAACAUUUGCCAGUGCCUAGGAUUGAAUUCUCAAUCUUUCGAGUGAGAGGAGCAACUUUUAAACGAAUUGUGGAUGUCACCAUUCAUAAGUGAUCAUAAAGAACAGUAAAUAUCAAGAUAAUAAAUAUCAAGAUUAUUCUCCAAAAUAUCUGAAGGCAUAAUAAGGAUGGAUGAAAACCAAUGAAGAAGAGAAACAACCUAGAACUAGGGAGAUAUUUCCUGACAGAACAAUUAAUCACUGGAACAAGUUGCUUCCAGAACUUGUGGGUGCUUUAAAACUGGAGUUUUUAAGAAGUGAUGGGACAACCAUUCAUCUGAAAUGGUACAAAUUUUCCUGCUUUGCUAGGAGUUGGAGUAAAAGACCUCAAAGAUCCCUUCCCACUCUGUUAUUCUCUAAAAGAUGGUGAAUGUGAUGAUGUAAUUAAAACACCUGGCUUUUAUAUGCAUUUGGAAGCUGAAUGUCCCCAGCAUAUAAGAAAGACAACUUCUAGCAUAUUUUUCUCUUAAAUAAAUAAUAAAGCUUUGAAACAGGAAGUCAGUCAUUUGGUUAAUAUAUAAACAGCAAAGAACCCACAUUGCUCUUUGGGUUUCUGGGGAGUCACAGAACAAGGGACAGAGUGAGAAAGCAAGGAGUGCUUGUUGGAAAAAGGAGAAUUCAAGAAGAUCAUGAUGAGAGUUUAUGUAGCUCUGGUUGCAUUCUUCUCCUUCAUAUCUUGGACUUCCUCCCAUGUUAUUCAUUAAACAAGCACAGGGGGAGUAUGUACAAAUACUUGUAGUUAUUAUGGUUAUAAGUACACCUGGUGCAAGCAAAAGGGUGGCAGUGGACACGAAUGGGAUUAUUGUUCCUUAAAAAAUGGCUUGUCUGUUUAUGGUGAGAAAUGUGACUCACCUUGUUAUUUCUGGGGAGGUUCCUAUCAGUAUUGUCUCUUCAAAAAUGGAAAAUGGAAUUACUGCAGCCUUAUUUUAGAGUGGGAUUCCUUUGAAUAUUCACUGAGAAACAACCCGUGUAAGCAUAGAUGCCAAAUAAUCCAAGGAGAUUUCCAAUGUGUGACUAUUUCUGGACUUGAGCCCUGCUCUCCUUUCCGAGAUGUGACUCCCACAGGCUUGCCCUGCCACAUUAACUAUCAAUGUGCCAAAUAUGGUUGGUCAUCCUAUCACUGUCAGACGGGCAUGGGAGAAGAUGACUAGGAUCUCUGUAGACCAAAAGACAAGGAUGGAUGCAUAUGGAAAGCUUCUGUCACAGAUUCUUUUCAGACAGAGAUUUGUACACUUGUUUAUUCCCAAAAGAACAGUAAUAUCUUUUUCCGCAGAGAAAUGCAAACAAAAAUAGUCCGUCCUACAAAAGAGCAAUUCAAAGAUGCUGUUCAUUUGAUUGAUAAUUUAAAUAACAUCAGAAAUCUUUCCAAGUCUGACACUCUGACAGAAAUAUAUUUCUAUAAGGAAAGUAUCUUAUGCAAUGACACCAAUUAUACUAGUGUAAAACUGUGGCUUGACAAUAA